rnacentral:lncRNA from 1 species
CCUGGAUUUCAGGCAGGUAGUACAGUUUUACUGAUGUUGUUUUGCAUGGUAGCAGGGGAGGUCAGCUACUACAGCUCUGUCCAAGCUAGGUCUGAGGAUGCAUGCUUGUAUCAGAAGAUAAAGCAUCAAUAUGACUACAGAUUUUACUUCAAAAUCAAGCAGUGCCAAGGCAUGUGUGCACGAAAAAGAAUCAUCAAAUCACAGAAUCCUUAAAGCUGGAAGGGAAGGGACCUCUGAAGGCCAUCUAGUCCAGCUCCCCUGCAAUGAGCAGGGAUAUCUACAGCUUGAUCAGGU